CGGGUCGUUAGCUCAGUUGGUAGAGCAGUUGACUUUUAAUCAAUUGGUCGCAGGUUCGAAUCCUGCAGACCCACC
rnacentral:tRNA from 1 species